rnacentral:rRNA from 1 species
GACGAACCGUGCGAACGUUGUUCGGAUUCACUGGGCUUAAAGGGCGCGUAGGCGGGCCGCCAAGUCAGGGGUGAAAUCCCGCAGCUCAACUGCGGAAGUGCCUUUGAUACUGGCGGCCUCGAGGGAGGUAGGGGCAUGCGGAACUUCCGGUGGAGCGGUGAAAUGCGUAGAUAUCGGAAGGAACGCCGGUGGCGAAAGCGGCGUGCUGGACCUCUUCUGACGCUGAGGUGCGAGAGCGUGGGGAGCGAACCGG